GUAGGGUGCGAGCGUUAUCCGGAAUCAUUGGGCGUAAAGAGCUCGUAGGCGGUUCAGCAAGUCGGCUGUGAAAUUCCGAGGGCUCAACCUCGGAACUGCAGUCGAUACUGUUGUGACUCGAGUCCGGUAGAGGAGAAUGGAAUUCCCGGUGUAGCGGUGAAAUGCGCAGAUAUCGGGAGGAACACCAGUAGCGAAGGCGGUUCUCUGGGCCGGCACUGACGCUGAGGAGCGAAAGCGUGGGUAGCAAACAGGAUUAGAUACCCUGGUAGUCCACGCCGUAAACGUUGGAUACUAGGUGUGGGGUUCCGACCAACGGUCCCCGUGCCGAAGCUAACGCAUUAAGUAUCCCGCCUGGGGAGUACGGCCGCAAAGGCUAA
rnacentral:rRNA from 1 species